ACUCCUACGGGAGGCAGCAGUGGGGAAUAUUGCACAAUGGGCGCAAGCCUGAUGCAGCCAUGCCGCGUGUGUGAAGAAGGCCUUGGGUUGUAAAGCACUUUCAGCAGUGAGGAAGGCGGGUAUGUUAAUAGCAUAUUCGUUUGACGUUAGCUGCAGAAGAAGCACCGGCUAACUCCGUGCCAGCAGCCGCGGUAAUACGGAGGGUGCGAGCGUUAAUCGGAAUUACUGGGCGUAAAGCGCAUGCAGGUGGUUGUUAAGUCAGAUGUGAAAGCCCGGGGCUCAACCUCGGAAUAGCAUUUGAAACUGGCAGACUAGAGUACUGUAGAGGGGGUAGAAUUUCAGGUGUAGCGGUGAAAUGCGUAGAGAUCUGAAGGAAUACCGGUGGCGAACGGCGGCCCCCUGGACAGAUACUGACACUCAGAUGCGAAAGCGUGGGAGCAAACAGGAUUAGAUACCCCUGGUAGCGACUGA
rnacentral:rRNA from 1 species